rnacentral:snoRNA from 1 species
UUCCAAAGCAUUGAGUUCAGUUUAGGGCAUCUUCCCUGUUCUGUUCAUUAAACUUUGGGAGAUUGAAGUGGGCUAGAGUCAGUGUUUGGAUAGAAAAUUACUGUUCUAUUCAUUUAUGUCCUGGCCUACAAAA